rnacentral:rRNA from 1 species
CCUGAUCCAGCCAUGCCGCGUGAGUGAUGAAGGCCUUAGGGUCGUAAAGCUCUUUCGCCUGUGAAGAUAAUGACGGUAGCAGGUAAAGAAACCCCGGCUAACUCCGUGCCAGCAGCCGCGGUAAUACGGAGGGGGUUAGCGUUGUUCGGAAUUACUGGGCGUAAAGCGCACGUAGGCGGACUGGAAAGUUGGGGGUGAAAUCCCAGGGCUCAACCCUGGAACUGCCUCCAAAACUAUCAGUCUAGAGUUCGAGAGAGGUGAGUGGAAUUCCGAGUGUAGAGGUGAAAUUCGUAGAUAUUCGGAGGAACACCAGUGGCGAAGGCGGCUCACUGGCUCGAUACUGACGCUGAGGUGCGAAAGUGUGGGGAGCAAACAGGAUUAGAUACCCUGGUAGUCCACACCGUAAACGAUGAAUGCCAGUCGUCGGGUAGCAUGCUAUUCGGUGACACACCUAACGGAUUAAGCAUUCCGCCUGGG